GAUGAAGAACGUAGCGAAAUGCGAUACGUAAUGUGAAUUGCAGAAUUCAGUGAAUCAUCGAAUCUUUGAACGCAUAUUGCGCUCUCUGGUAUUCCGGAGAGCAUGCUUGUUUGAGUAUCAGUAAACACCUCAACUCCCUUUCUUCUUGAAAUGGAGCUGGAUUUGAGUGAUCCCAACGCUUUAUUCAUAAAGUGGCGGGUUACUUGAAAUGCAGGUGCAGCUGGACUUUUCUCUGAGCUAUAAGCAUAUCUAUUUAGUCUGCCUCAAAACAGAUUAUUACCUUUGCUGCAGCUAACAUAAAGGAGAUUAGUUCUUGUGCUGACUGAUGCAGGAUUCACAAAGACCGCUUCGGCUGUCUUUGUAAACUCGAUCUCAAAUCAAGUAAGACUACCCGCUGAACUUAAGCAUAUCAAUAAGCGGAAGA
rnacentral:misc_RNA from 1 species